rnacentral:rRNA from 1 species
AGAGAGAGACAUGCGCGCAUAUCAAUAAGCGGAGGAAAAGAAACUAACAAGGAUUCCCUUAGUAACGGCGAGUGAAGCGGGAAGAGCUCAAAUUUGAAAUCUUCAAGGUUUUACCUUGACGAAUUGUAGUUUAAAGAAGUGUUUUCUGCUGAAGUUUUGGUAAAAGUUCUUUGGAAUAGGACAUCAUAGAGGGUGAGAAUCCCGUAUUUGACCAUUAUUUUCAGCUUUGUGAUACACUUUCUAAGAGUCGGAUUGUUUGGGAAUGCAGUCCAAAAUGGGUGGUAAAUUUCAUCUAAAGCUAAAUAUUGGCGAGAGACCGAUAGCGAACAAGUACCGUGAGGGAAAGAUGAAAAGAACUUUGAAAAGAGAGUUAAACAGUACGUGAAAUUGUCAAAAGGGAAGCGUUUGACACCAGUGUUGUUCUCUCGAAAAUCAAUUAAAAAUGGCUCGAUUUUGUAUGCGUUGAGACCUUAAAAGCUCACUGUACAUUUUUCGUGUCUUUUUUAAUGCACUUUUCGUUUAACAAGUCAACAUCAGUUUCUUUUGUUGUAAAAGGGUCAUUGGAAGGUGGCUUUCUUUUCGGAGAAAGUGUUUAUAGCCUUUGGCCUCUGCAAUCGGAGAGACUGAGGUCUGCAGCGUAGACUCUUCGGGGUUAGAUACAUUUGUGCUAAGUUAUAGCCUUUUCAUAGACAACUUGUUGACUAUGAAUCAGUCAUGUAGGCUUACUCGCUUAUGCUAUUUUACCUACGCUUAGGAUGUUGAGUCGUAGAGCACGCAG